rnacentral:lncRNA from 1 species
CAGAGUCUGAUGGAUCUGGGUGACUGGGCAAGUUCUUUAGCUUGUCAAACCUUCAUUUCUCUAAUUUAUAACAUAAGGACAGUACCUUCUUCCUGUCAAGGUUGAGGCAAGCAUUAGUGAGAAACGUCUCAAGGCCUGGUUCACAUUAAAGGUCAAAAAAGAGAGAAAACAUCACUGUUCUCUUCAGCAGAACUUUUGUCAGUGUGAUCGAGAAUUGUCUCAAGUGACAAGUGAGCUGACCAGGGAACCCUGGGUGGCAGGUACUAUUGGCACCAUUUUCCAGAUAAAGAAAAUGAAGUUCUAAGCAGUCAAAUGACAUGUCAAGAUCACCCAACUGUAAAGGAUGACAGAGGGCACAGAAGCCACCAGCAGAUUCUUUGGAAGGAAGUAACAGGAGUGGAACUUCAUUUUCCCAUGGAUUGUAAAGGGCUGGGCUCCCUUCCACCUCUUCUCACUGGCCUCCUGUUUGUACCCCUGACCUCUCCGGGAUCUGGAUCCCAACACUGUCUUCUGCAAUGAAAACCCUGAUUUUCUAUAUCUGGACAAAAGACUAGGACAUAACGAGAAUUUUAGCGGAAGGAACUGAGGGAGAGAGAUUGCACAGCAGACAAGGACAAAUAAAGGGAAGGUGGAAACAAGGUCACACACUGUUGCCCAGGCUGGAGUAGAGUGGCGUG